AGAUUGAACGCUGGCGGAAUGCUUUACACAUGCAAGUCGAGCGGCAGCGCGGGGGCAACCCUGGCGGCGAGCGGCGAACGGGUGAGUAAUACAUCGGAACAUGUCCAGUUGUGGGGGGAUAGCCCGGCGAAAGCCGGAUUAAUACCGCAUGAGCUCGAGAGAGGAAAGCGGGGGACCGUAAGGCCUCGCGCGACUGGGUUGGCCGAUGUCCGAUUAGCUAGUGUGGGUAAAGCCUACAAGGCGAUGAUCGGUAGCUGGUCUGAGAGGAUGAUCAGCCACACUGGGACUGAGACACGGCCCAGACUCCUACGGGAGGCAGCAGUGGGGAAUUUGGACAAGUGGGGGCAACCCGUGAUCCAGCCAUUCCGCGUGAGUGAAGAAGGCCUUCGGGUUGUAAAGUCUCGUUUUGUCCGGAGCGGAACGGUUACGGUGAAUAGUCCGUGACUACGUAGACGGUAACCGGAAG
rnacentral:rRNA from 1 species